CGUUGUGCCCACUGCGCCGGCCAGUCCCGGCCAAAGUGUCAAAAUUCAAAUAGAAUAAAAACAAAAACCUUGACGGCUGAUGGGUAAUUCCGUCAAAUUAUACCAACGGUUCAGUUUAUCAGUGAAUUCACCGCGGCCUCACUCCCUCGCUCCUCAACCCAUUCCCAUAGAUAAAGUGACAAAUGACAAUACAGAAAGCGACUACCACAGGACGCAGACAUCGGUUAUGAUGCACUCAUUACACACUUAGUACUCUUGUCUAUGUAUGCACUGCUUCAAGUUUCAACACAAUAACACAAUGUCACAUGAAUUAUGAAUAAUUAAUAUUAAUACAACAUUACACAAGAUAUUCAGAUCACACCUGCAAUCAUUCCUAACUAAUUACUAAAUAAAUAUAUUCAUUAGGUACUUAAUUUAUUGUUUUUAUCUAAUUUAUUUUGUUACAGAUUGGUUGAUGGAUAGAAUGCUCUAAGAACCAUCAAUAUCAGAGAAGUAAUGAAUAAUAGAAUUUUUAAAAAGCUAUAUUGAUGCAAUGAAGUUCCUUAAUCCUUACUAAAUGAAAAUAAACACUACCUGGCUUAUGUAAUUUGAGAUCGGAUAAUAAAAUUACAAGCUUUAUGGAAGGAUCACAGUCAAAUAGUCUAUUAGUCAAAUAGUCAAC